ACACACAGAUGACUUUCUACCUGGCUAUGAGUCCCGUCACAUCAAGGUUAUACACACACACAGAUGACUUUCUACCUGGCUAUGAGUCCCGUCACAUCAAGGUUAUACACACACACAGAUGACUUUCUACCUGGCUAUGAGUCCCGUCACAUCAAGGUUAUACACACACACAGAUGACUUUCUACCUGGCUAUGAGUCCCGUCACAUCAAGGUUAUACACACACACAGAUGACUU